rnacentral:rRNA from 1 species
GUCUACAGCCAUACCACCCUGAACACGCCCGAUCUUGUCUGAUCUCGGAAGCUAAGCAGGUUUGGGCCUGGUUAGUACUUGGAUGGGAGACCACCUGGGAAUACUGGGUGCUGUAGGCU